rnacentral:lncRNA from 1 species
GGUACAUUGCAAGACCAGCCUUGAAGCAGUAUAUUUAAGGGAGAGAUUCUGAGGAGGAGCUUUGGGGUGGUUAGUGAUUGGCAGCAAAGGAGAGGAAUUUUGGAAAGGCCCUUGAACGUGUAUAGUUGUGUCUUCAAGCUUCUUCAUGAGUCACACACGCAAAUUCAGGGAAUCCCCAGCUGCAGAACAGAUGAAGGCGACACCUGGCUUCUUCCUGGGAAUGGUUGCUGGCAAUGGGACACUCUCACUUUCAGCUGCCUCUGAGUUUGAAUGGUGACUCAUACCCCCUGUCUGAGCCCAGCUUCACUUUCACCCUCCUCCACCUGCCAAGCCCUACCUGUCCGAGACACCACGGAGUUCUCAUUUCCUUCCUCUUUCCACCAGUCUGAAGAAGAAAAUGGCCAAGAAUGAAGUCCUCAGGACAUUAAGAUGACGUAGAAAACACAAAAAGGAGAAAGACUUUGCUGUUAUUUACCCCACAUCAUUCCAUUAAAGUUUCUUGGAUCUCUUCUUCAUCCAUGUAGCAAUAACCCUGGGGGUGGGAACCAGCAAUCCAAGUCCUCCAAAUGAUUUGGCGGUUCUUCAAGGAUUAUCUGACUCCAUAAGGGUGGACAUUUAUGGUUGUCUUUCUAUUGACUAGGCUAUUUUAUAACCCUAUAAAGACGGAAGUUUAGUUACAGAAAAACUGACAAUUAUACAAAUUAUUCUUAUCCAUAGAUAUACAAAUGAAUUUUGUCUAGUAGAGAUACAUAGAGUUUUAGAAAAGAUAACCCCACUCCAAUUUAUAGUAUAUGAACCAGUUUUUUGUCCAUUGGCAAAUUCAGCAUUACUGGUUAUAUGUGUCUCUUUAAAUUUACUCUUAACUGGAUUUAACCAUUUUCUGGCUCCCUCAUUAAUUAAGGAGCUAAAUAAAUAAAAUCUACAACACAAGUUCAUUUUAUACUUGUAUGACAGCCAUAAUUUUACUUCUUUGAAAAUUAUACUUUCACAUAGCAAUUCUCAGAGUGAAGUCCCA